CUGAGUGAGGGCCUCCGGGCCCGACCUCCCACCCUUUGUUAUUCAAAACCACUGUUGCCUCGGGGGCGACCCAGGCCUCGCGGUUUGGGGCCCCCGGUGGACCAUUUAUCAACACUGCAUCUAUGCGUCGGAUUAAUAAAGUUAAAUGAAUUA
rnacentral:misc_RNA from 1 species